rnacentral:misc_RNA from 1 species
UACAGAGGGUGCAAGCGUUAAUCGGAGUUAUUGGGCGUAAAGGGCGCGUAGGCGGACUGAUAAGAUAGAUGUGAAAGCCCUGGGCUUAACCUGGGAAUUGCAUUUAAGACUGUCAGCCUAGAGUAGAGCAGAGGUAAGCGGAAUUUCCGGUGUAGCGGUGAAAUGCGUAGAUAUCGGAAGGAACACCAGUGGCGAAGGCGGCUUACUGGGCUCAUACUGACGCUGAGGCGCGAAAGCGUGGGGAGCGAACAGG